CCUCUUGCACAAGCACCUUACAGAAACACAGAGAGACAGAAGUUGAAGAGAAAAUGGGAGGCUAUUCUUCUGAUCCCGAAUCUUGGAUUUCAUCUAAGAACUCUUUACCAAACCACCACGAAUCCAGAUCCUUAAACUUCACACCCCCUCUCAAUGGCCUCGAUCAAGAAUAUGCACACCUCUCUAAAUUGAGCAGCAGCAAGAGCUUGCCGCCAAGCAAGAAGAAGAAGAACCAAGUCUUGCUUGAGGGCUAUGUGGAAACAGAAUCUGAAGAUGACUUGAAGAGAACUAAGAGUUUGACUGAUGAAGACCUUGAUGAGUUAAAGGGGUGCUGUGAUCUUGGUUUUGGAUUCAGUUAUGAAGAAAUUCCGGAACUUUGUAACACCUUGCCUGCUCUUGAGUUGUGUUACUCAAUGAGUCAGAAGUUCUUGGAUGAACACCAGAAGUCGCCGGAGAGGACUCCGGUGGCUGAGUCUGUUGCCAGCCCGAUUGCUAAUUGGAAGAUCUCUAGUCCUGGUGACCAUCCGGAAGAUGUUAAAGCAAGGCUGAAAUAUUGGGCACAGGCUGUGGCCUGCACAGUUAGAUUGUGCAGCUGAGGCAGAGAUUUAGCAACUAAUUGAUUCAUCAAUUGAAAAGAAAAUGAAAAUGACAUUUUCUUUACGAUCAGAAAUCAGAAAUCUAUUGCCUGGACAUUCAUGUGUAGCAUCUGCUCUGCCGAUCUAUUCCUGGACAGUUUCUUACUGGGAAUGAAAUUUUCAGCUGGUCACUAGCUGGAGAUGGACCUACCAUAACCUAUCGAAUGAUGGGUCGCCUGUAAAGGAGUAGAGAAGAGGAGCAAGUGAAAAAUGUCUCAGUGGUGAGAGUCUCCAUUUAGAGCUUCACCAAAUAGUUGGAGACCUCUGCAUUUGCGGAGGUAACUAAUCUAACUGGGUUGAUUAACAUGACUGUAUACGAUUAAUUCCUCGUCUUUAUUAUUGCGUUCCAUUAACUGAAAUUGUUAAACUUUGAUACCAACAAUUCAUGAUCGUGCUGAUCACUAACCGAGACUUGUGUUU